rnacentral:lncRNA from 1 species
AUGCUAAUUCCUCUAUUUUGGAGUCACACAGCCAAGCUACAGGCUGAAUACUUUCUUGAGAAAAUCAGGAUGCCUGUAUGGAAUGAGCAGGACAAGUGUUCAUGCACAAUUCCCAGCCCUGCAGCAGCAGGUUCAAAAUGCCAGCUGUACUACCUGGACAUCCAUCUGAGAUGCAACUCCUUCUCCAAGCAGAAUUUCCUACGUGUCUCAAGCCAAAGGCUUUGCAGCUUUCAGCCACUGAGAACUCAGAGACAGCUUUUUAGCUGGACAAUCCCAGAACUAACCACAAAUUAUGUUGGUGUUCUGCUUCUUCCAGUUUGUCUUGAUGGGCCUGAAGUCAGCUUCUUUCUUGUGGAAAUAAAGAAUGUCACCAUGAAUGUCCAUGGGCAAGCUGGAUAAGAAGGAGUGUCACAAUGCAGGACAACCUAGGAGAUGACAGCCAGUACUGGAGAAAAUAGGACUUCAAAGAAGACCUAAGAAGACCUACGUGAGCGAGCAAAGAAGACCUAUGUACACACGCAAACUUGAUGAGAAAAAGAUAUUUUUCUAUUUUUUUUUUUAAGAAAGUAGCAAUAUGUAGCCAUUUGUUUUUCCUCUUCACUAUGCUGUUACUUUUGACAUUUCUUUUCCAGUAGGG